rnacentral:rRNA from 1 species
GACGAACGCUGGCGGCGUGCUUAACACAUGCAAGUCGAACGAUGAACCCGGAGCUUGCUCUGGGGGAUUAGUGGCGAACGGGUGAGUAACACGUGAGUAACCUGCCCUGGACUCUGGGAUAAGCGUUGGAAACGACGUCUAAUACCGGAUAGGACCUUGGAUCGCAUGAUCUGGGGUGGAAAGUUUUUUCGGUCUGGGAUGGACUCGCGGCCUAUCAGCUUGUUGGUGAGGUAAUGGCUCACCAAGGCGUCGACGGGUAGCCGGCCUGAGAGGGUGACCGGCCAGACUGGGACUGAGACACGGCCCAGACUCCUACGGGAGGCAGCAGUGGGGAAGAUUGCACAAUGGGCGAAAGCCUGAUGCAGCAACGCCGCGUGCGGGAUGACGGCCUUCGGGUUGUAAACCGCUUUUAGUAGGGAAGAAGGGCUUCGGCUUGACGGUACCUGCAGAAAAAGGACCGGCUAACUACGUG